UACGGGGGGGGCAAGCGUUGUUCGGAAUUACUGGGCGUAAAGGGCUCGUAGGCGGCCAACUAAGUCAGACGUGAAAUCCCUCGGCUUAACCGGGGAACUGCGUCUGAUACUGGAUGGCUUGAGAUUGGGAGAGGGAUGCGGAAUUCCAGGUGUAGCGGUGAAAUGCGUAGAUAUCUGGAGGAACACCGGUGGCGAAGGCGGCAUCCUGGACCAACACCGGCGCUGAGUGAGCGAAAGCCAGGGGAGCAAACGGG
rnacentral:rRNA from 1 species